rnacentral:rRNA from 1 species
UACAGAGGGUGCGAGCGUUAAUCGGAAUUACUGGGCGUAAAGCGCACGUAGGCGGCUUUGCAAGUCGGGUGUGAAAUCCCCGGGCUCAACCUGGGAACUGCAUCCGAGACUGCUUUGCUCGAGUAUGGGAGAGGGAAGUGGAAUUUCCGGUAUAGCGGUGAAAUGCGUAGAUAUCGGAAGGAACAUCAGUGGCGAAGGCGACUUCCUGGACCAAUACUGACGCUCAGGUGCGAAAGCGUGGGGAGCAAACAGG